UCGACCUUGAUUUGGCCGUUUUCAGCUCGC
rnacentral:sRNA from 1 species